GGGUUUGAUUCUGGCUCAGAUUGAACGCUAGCGGGAUGCCUUACACAUGCAAGUCGAACGGCAGCGGCACGGACUUCGGUCUGGUGGCGAAGUGGCGAACGGGUGAGUAUUGUAUCAGAACGUGCCCGGUAGCGGGGGAUAGUACGCGACGUAGCUAAUACCGCAUACGCCCUGCAGGGGAAAACAGGGGGAUCGCAAGACCUUGCACUAUUGGAGCGGCCGAUAUCGGAUUGAAUAGUUGGUGGGGUAACGGCUCGCAAGGCGACGAUCAGCUGGUUUGAGAGGACGACAACCACACUGGGACUGAGACACGGCCCAGACUCCUACGGGAGCAGCAGUGAAAUUUUGGACAAUGGGGGAAACCCUGAUCCAGCCAUCCCGCGUGUGCGAUGAAGGCCUUCCGGGUUGUAAAGCACUUUUGGCAGGAAAAACGUCGUGGGUUAAUACCCCGCGAAACUGACAGUACCUGCAGAAUAAGCACCGGCUAACUUCGUGCCGGCGGCCGCGGUAAUACGUAGGGUGCAAGCGUUAAUCGGAAUUACUGGGCGUAAAGCGUGCGCAGGCGGUUCGAAAGAAAGAUGUGAAAUCCCAGAGCUUAACUUUGGAACUGCAUUUUUAACACCGGGCUAGAAGUGUGUCAGAGGAGGGUAAAUUCCGCGUGUAGCAGUGAAAUGCGUAGAUAUGCGGAGGAACACCGAUGGCGAGCAGCCUCCUGGGAUAACACUGACGCUCAUGCACGAAAGCGUGGGAGCAAACAGGAUUAGAUACCCCAGUAGUCCACGCCCUAAACGAUGUCAACUAGCUGUUGGGGCCUUUGCAUGAUUUAGUGGCGCCUGUAGCCUAACGCGUAAGUUGACCGCCUGGAGAGUACGGUCGCAAGAUUAAAACUCAAAGGAAUUUGUGAGACCCGCACAAGCGGUGGAUGAUGUGGAUUAAUUCGAUGCAACGCGAAAAACCUUACCUACCCUUGACAUGUCUGGAAUGCCGAAGAGAUUUGGCAGUGCUCGCAAGAGAACCGGAACACAGGUGCUGCAUGGCUGUCGUCAGCUCGUGUCGUGAGAUGUUAGGUUAAGUCCCACCAACGGGCGCAACCCUUGUCAUUGCCUGGUGCUACGAAAGGGCACUCUAAUGGGUACCGGUGACAAACCGGAGGAAGGUGGGGAUGACGUCAAGUCUCAUGGCCCAUAUGGGUAGGGCUUCACACGUCAUACAAUGGUCGGGACAGAGGGUCGCCAACCCGCGAGGGGGAGCCAAUCCCAGGAAACCCGAUCGUAGUCCGGAUCGCGGUCUGCAACUCGACUGCGUGAAGUCGGAAUCGCUAGUAAUCGCGGAUCAGCAUGUCGCGGUGAAUACGUUCGGGUCUUGUACACACCGCCCGUCACACCGUGGGAGUGGGUUUUACCAGAGUAGUUAGCCUAACCGCAAAAGCGAUUACCACAGUUCAUGACUGGGGGUGAAGUCGCUCAACAAAGGUAG
rnacentral:rRNA from 1 species